rnacentral:rRNA from 1 species
UACGUAGGGUGCGAGCGUUGUCCGGAAUUAUUGGGCGUAAAGAGCUCGUAGGCGGUCUGUCGCGUCGGUCGUGAAAACUUGGGGCUUAACCCUGAGCUUGCGGUCGAUACGGGCAUGACUGGAGUUCGGCAGGGGAGACUGGAAUUCCUGGUGUAGCGGUGGAAUGCGCAGAUAUCAGGAGGAACACCGGUGGCGAAGGCGGGUCUCUGGGCAGUAACUGACGCUGAGGAGCGAAAGCGCGGGGAGCGAACAGG